rnacentral:lncRNA from 14 species
AUUGUAUUUCAUGAGAUGGGAGAUUUCCAGAAGUCCUAAAGAAGCAGAAAGUGAGGUUUGCAAGUCACCAUCAGGUCUUUCCUUUCAGGCCUUUGGCUGCUGGGCCAGAUUAAUGUGAAUGUGGGAACAAAUAGACUCUUGCGACACCUGGCCUCUGCAGAUAACCCCGCCCAGCUUGACUCCAGGCCAAGGCACAAAACACCUCUGUUGUAUUGACAGAUGACCUCAUGAGAAUGAACAGAUAAGACAAAUUAAUGUUGA